GACGUAGGGCGCGAGCGUUGUCCGGAUUUAUUGGGCGUAAAGAGCUCGUAGGCGGUCUGUCGCGUCGGCUGUGAAAACCCGGAGCUCAACUCCGGGCCUGCAGUCGAUACGGGCAAACUGGAGUGUUGCAGGGGAGACUGGAAUUCCUGGUGUAGCGGUGAAAUGCGCAGAUAUCAGGAGGAACACCGGUGGCGAAGGCGGGUCUCUGGGCAGCAACUGACGCUGAGGAGCGAAAGCGUGGGGAGCGAACAGG
rnacentral:rRNA from 1 species